GACAGAGGGUGCAAACGUUGUUCGGAAUUACUGGGCGUAAAGCGCGUGUAGGCGGCAGCGCAAGUCGGAUGUGAAAUCCCAUGGCUCAACCAUGGAAGUGCACCCGAAACUGCGUCGCUAGAGUCCUGGAGAGGAAGGUGGAAUGCUUGGUGUAGAGGUGAAAUUCGUAGAUAUCAAGCGGAACACCGGUGGCGAAGGCGGCAUCCUGGACCAACACUGACGCUGAGGAGCGAAAGCCAGGGGAGCAAACGGG
rnacentral:rRNA from 1 species